rnacentral:rRNA from 1 species
GACAGAGGCCUCAAGCGUUAGGCGGAAUCACUGGCUUAAAGCGUGUGUAGGCGGAUCGUUAAGUGUCUUGUGAAAUCCCACGGCUCACCCGUGGAACUGCUGGGCAUACUGGCGAUCUUGGGCCAACUAGGGGCAGCCGGAACAAGCGGUGGAGCGGUGAAAUGCGUAGAUAUCGCUUGGAACGCCGAAGGUGAAAACAGGCUGCUGGGGUUGUGCCGACGCUGAGACACGAAAGCCAGGGGAGCAAACGGG